rnacentral:lncRNA from 1 species
AAUCAGAUUUUAUAAAGAUCAGCACAAACUAGAACAAUCUUUGCACUGUAAGGGAUAAACCUUACAGUAGGACAACCUUAUAUCAGUUUGUGCGAUCAGAUCUAUAACUAAUUUUAGAUCUAAAUAUCAUAUAUCAGAUCUAAUCUAAAUUAAAUUAUAGAUUUAAAUAUAUAUAAUAUCAUGUCACAUCGAACCGUGGCUCUGAUACUACUGUUGGGAUGCAC